rnacentral:lncRNA from 1 species
AAUUUCACACCUGGAUGUGCUCACUCAACCAAGAAUAUAGAGAAAGAGCUUCUGCCCCGAGACUCAGAAAAAUAUUCUCCACUGCUUCUGUUCAGUACAGAUUUCUAGACCCCGAUCCUUGCUUAGCAGAUUUUCAGAGGGG